GCGAGGCUCAAACUCACAAACCAGAGAUCAAGAGUCGCAUGCUCUACUGACCAAGCCAGCCAGGAUUAUUGGGAAGAUAAAUGAGACCCUAUUCUGAAAGCGUGCAGCACGUAGAGAAAACUGGGGCCGCACCCCAGCUAUCCGUAUGGUCUUGUCUCUCUGGGCCAUUGUCCCUCAGACUGCCUCUGCAAGGAAGCACAGACUGGUGCCAUGGAAAGCCCGCAAGGAGAGGUCCCAUGGAAAGGCCUGGCGUAGGCAUUGUAGCCAAUAGCCCAGUCGUCUCAGCAAACACGACGACCCUGAUCUUCUGUGGCCAGAGGGGCAUCUUCCUCCCUUACAGGACCUGGAACCGACACACCUUCCCUCAGCUCCCAAAUACUGCCCCCCCAGCACCCGCUGAGUGACAGCACUGACCCCCAGCACCCGCUAAGGGACAGCACCGCCCCCCAGCACCUGCUGGGUGACAGCACUGCCCCCCAGCACCCGCUGAGUGACAGCACUGACCCCCAGUACCCGCUGAGUGGUCAGGGUGUUAUCAAUGCUUUCACCCAAAUCUGAGCACUGACACCUCUCUACAUUUGGGAGGUGACAGGAGCCCCUCCAAGCUCUGUCUGCAUGGGACGCUGCCUGGCCCACUGGCUCCCCCGGGUGCUGCUGUUCAUUCUCCUUGGACCGCUGCACCUGGUGAGAGGUGAGCUUCCUUGUGCCUCCUCUUUGGCACUUCCAGACCUGUCUCUUCCCUAGCACAAAAGCCCUAGAUUUGAACCUCAUAUCAUCAGAUCUUAACUUGUUGAAGUUGUCUGCAUGCCUGGGGGCUUCCCUAAAAUCCUUCCUGUUUUACUCCUGAUUCCCUGUCACUUUCCCCAACCACUCCUGUCAUAGUUCCUGGUGAUCUCAGAAUCCACGGGGGAUUCUCCAAUCUUCUGUACAUCCUCCCCUUCAGCAGUCCUGUCACCUUCCCAGCUGGCCACUCGCUCCCCUGGCCAGGGUCCUUCUCACAACUGCAGCCUCUCCACAGUCUAACCUCAAGGCCCACAUUCUCUGACGAGUUCCCAACCUUGCAGCUCGUGCCCUCCACUCCCCUUUAGCCCCGCCGAGAUCUGCGGUCCUUGGAUAAGACCCAGGUUAGUACUUUCUCAUCCCCUGAUGGCCUUUCCCUCCUCUGUAUCAAGAGAGACUCUCCGGAUCAGCCACUGUGCCUGCUCCCUAACCCUACCCCCCCACUCUUGCUUCAUCAGAUUCACUCGGCCGAACCAUAACCCAUGUUAAAUCCCGGCUAUCUUUGUGUCUUUGUUCCUUCUCACAGUUGGUGGAUCUGGGUGGUGCUGGUGGCUUCCCCGGGGCCCCACUCGUGCUGUCAGCUGAGGGUCAGCUAGGCUGCGAGGAUACAAGUGGCACUAUGUAUGGACGCGUGGGGUUGUGGUCACUGGGCUUCUGGCGCUCUGCCACGUGGCCCCAUCCUGCCCAAGCCGGACCAGUUUCCUCACGUGGCUUGGCCAACAUUGCAGAAGGGUGAAGCGGAAACUCAGGGUCUCUUGAGGCCUGGGCUACGGAACUCACAAGGUGAAACUCCUGCCAGCAUUUCAUCAGCUGAGGCAGGUCACAAGGCCAGCCAGAUUCAAGAGGGAGAUGCCGUGGCCGUGUUUCUCUAUCAGUCACGUCAAUCUUCCGACAUCCUGUAGCUGCGUGUGGCCAGAGAGGCACCGAGCCACUGAUCAGCCUUGCCUGACGCUCUGGACCACGGGCCUCUCGUGGCUCUGAUGCUGCCCAGGCGUCUUCCGUUUCCUGGCCCCUCCCCAGCGUGCUCCUGAACAGCUCUGGCACACUUUUGGUCUCUCUCCCACAGUGCCUCCUCCCUGUCCUGCUCUCAUCUGAUAUGGAGCCGAGGACACACAGGCCUGCAGAUCACACGUCCUUUGGUUGAGCCCCGUGCUCUGCGCGUACUGGUGCUUCCUGCACGAGGCUGGUACCUGGCACCAUCCCCCUCUCUCUGCACCCUCAAUCCCUCUCCCUGUGCAUUCAUUCCCAUUUUGCUGUUCAGGGAUAGGAAAGCACACACGGCAUCAACCUAUCAGGUCCCCACCUCACUUUCCAUCUGCCACCGCUGCUCUGUGGCAAAGAUCCCAGAGCGACCGCUUACCUCGUGGACCCAUUUCCUCUCCUCCCUUCUCUCCAACUCUCUCCCGGUCUGCCAAGACCCUAUGGACACCAAGCUCACCAAGGUCACCGGGACGUCCCUGCGGCUGAUCUAGUAGUGACGAGGUGCCUACACAUCCCUCACUGCUUCUUAGACCUGUCAACCCCCGAUUGCCCUCCUGCCUCACUGCCACUCCUUCUGCCUUUCUGAUUUCUCCAUGAGUCCUCACUCUCUCUGUGUGUCCCCACUCCCUUGCACACCUCACUGAGGCUCCUGCUGGCGGCACUCCAAUUGGUAUCCACAGCCUGGGCUUACCCCUGAACCCCAGGCUGUAUCCUUUACCUGAUUUUAAGUCUAAUAGGCAUUUCGACUGCAACAUGCCCAUAACCAAGUUCCUGAUAGUGUCCUAUGGUGUUGGAUUCUGACCGAUGCUCUUAGUUUCACACCCAACCUGGAGUUCCCACCCACUAGGAGGCCCUGACCACAGGGGCACAGGUGAGGAGGUCAACCUCCCUCGGGACUGCUUUUGACCUGCCUCUACCCUGCACAGCCCCAGCCUCUUCUCUCUGGCCCAGCCUCUCACCUGCACUGACUAGCAGGUGUCUUCAUGUUCUCCUAUGUAGCCUCAGGCUUCUGAUGCCUCGUGAAUAAGUCUUUACACUAAUUUCUCCGCUUAGACAACCGGGGCGGGCAGUGUCUCUGCCUGGUGAUUGGGCCUGACUGAGGCUCCUUGCUUCCUCUGCGUCUGACCUUCCUUGGAAUUCUCAGGCCAGCAUUCUGCCGUCACGCUUAACACUUGGAGUCCACUCCCCACAGUGGCCCAUCAGGCCCUACUGCAGCUCUAGCUCCCUGAUGUAUCCGAACGCCACUUCUGGCCAUUUGCUCUCCUGCCACUGACUGUGUCACCGUCACCUUUGGCCUGGAUUUUCACAGAAUCUCCUGAUUGGUCUCCGGCUCCCUUCCUGACCCAAGGUCUUUCACUUCAUGCAGCUGCCCUGAUGAUCUUGUCAGGCCUGAGUGGAAUCAGGCCAGGACCCUCCAUGGUGAAAGCCUGGUGUGUUCAGUGGCCAGCCACACGCCCUACUUCUCUGCAUCCACUCUCCAGCCUCACUGCCUCACUCCUGGGCAGACACACUCCUGCCUCAGGGCCUUUGCAGCAUCUGUGUCUCCGCCUGGGAAGCUCUUCCCUCCCUGAGGUGUUUACUCAAAGGCCACUUUGGUAUCUCCUCUCUGCCUCCCCCGCUUCAGGACUUACACUCCCCCCUUUCCUGCUCUUUCUUCUUCCUGCUUAUCCCUGUCAACAACGUGUGCCAUCUGCACCUCCCCAUCCCGUGUGAUGUCUGUCCAUCACACUAGAACAUGAGCUCCAUCUUGCCCAGGGUAGUACCUGGCAUGUAGCCUUGUACUCCGUAAAGACGUGUUGGCCAAAUGAAUGAGUGACAGAGAUGAUAUCUCCCAACAUCCAGACAAUGAUACCAUCUUUUCCCAAAAUCAGUGUGGUGACCGUUCCACUGGCAUCUGAGCAAUGGAGGGACACCUUCCGAUAUCUGAUGUCAAAAUGUGAUUUUCAAGGCAAAAGAAUCCCAAAUAGCAAACACGACUUCCAUGCAAAUGCA